rnacentral:rRNA from 1 species
GAUGAACGCUGGCGGCGUGCCUAAUACAUGCAAGUCGAGCGAACAGACGAGGAGCUUGCUCCUCUGACGUUAGCGGCGGACGGGUGAGUAACACGUGGAUAACCUACCUAUAAGACUGGGAUAACUUCGGGAAACCGGAGCUAAUACCGUAUAAUAUAUUGAACCGCAUGGUUCAAUAGUGAAAGACGGUUUUGCUGUCACUUAUAGAUGGAUCCGCGCCGCAUUAGCUAGUUGGUAAGGUAACGGCUUACCAAGGCAACGAUGCGUAGCCGACCUGAGAGGGUGAUAGGCCACACUGGAACUGAGACACGGUCCAGACUCCUACGGGAGGCAGCAGUAGGGAAUCUUCCGCAAUGGGCGAAAGCUUGACGGAGCAACGCCGCGUGAGUGAUGAAGGUCUUCGGAUCGUAAAACUCUGUUAUUAGGGAAGAACAAAUGUGUAAGUAACUAUGCACGUCUUGACGGUACCUAAUCAGAAAGCCACGGCUAACUACGUG